rnacentral:rRNA from 1 species
GACGAACGCUGGCGGCGUGCUUAACACAUGCAAGUCGAACGGAAAGGCCCUGCUUUUGUGGGGUGCUCGAGUGGCGAACGGGUGAGUAACACGUGAGUAACCUGCCCUUGACUUUGGGAUAACUUCAGGAAACUGGGGCUAAUACCGGAUAGGGGCUCCUGCUGCAUGGUGGGGGUUGGAAAGUUUCGGCGGUUGGGGAUGGACUCGCGGCUUAUCAGCUUGUUGGUGGGGUAGUGGCUUACCAAGGCUUUGACGGGUAGCCGGCCUGAGAGGGUGACCGGCCACAUUGGGACUGAGAUACGGCCCAGACUCCUACGGGAGGCAGCAGUGGGGAAUAUUGCACAAUGGGCGGAAGCCUGAUGCAGCAACGCCGCGUGCGGGAUGACGGCCUUCUGGUUGUAAACCGCUUUCGCCUGUGACGAAGCGUGAGUGACGGUAAUGGGUAAAGAAGCACCGGCUAACUACGUG